AUUCCUGAGGAGCGCUGCGACGACUUCCUCCGCGGCGCAUGCGCCGCGCGGUUCGCCAGGCUCAGGAAACCUUGUUCAGGCGUUGCUCCGUGCAGCGCCACAGCAACGGCGCUCACCUCUG
rnacentral:ncRNA from 1 species